GGAAUUGGAUUUGAAAACGACAAAAAAAUUAUUUUAUUUUUAUUUAUUUCAUGAAAUCCAAUGUUAUCGGUUUUAUGUUCGAAUCGGAAUUAGUGUUGAUUUUAGGUGUCACAGAAAUCAAUAAUAUCGAUUUUGCUAUCGGAAACAAACCAAGCAGCUAACAGCUCUUGGAUUUCAUUUGUUUAUUAGUUUUUCUUACUUCCAGUUAGACAUUUUAUAAAAAUGGGAAAGCAUAAAAAUGCAACUCAAAACAGCAUUAUCGUGGAAUUUAUGGAGAAAUAUCCAGAUAUUGCGAGAGGCUUUACAAAGCGGGAUAAACCAACUGUUGAUGCCCUUUGGCAACAGUUUAGUUGAGUCGCUGAACAGUGCAGGUCCACCACAAAAGGAUACCAAUGGAUGGAAAAAGACGUGGACGGAGUAGAAAAGUGACAUAAAAAGAAAGCUCGCACAAAACAAAAGCGAGUCUCGAGCAACUGGUGGAGGACCCUUUUCUAAGCACCAACUAACGCAAACGGAAGAGACAAUAGUGCGCAUAUGUGGAAUUGCACAGUCUGUGGUUGGUGUGGCUGGCAAUGCAGUUGGCCUCAGCGAAGAUUUAGUUUGUGCAAGUGAGGAUGAAAUGCCAUCAACAUCAUCGAAGCGGCCAAUGUCUCCAGUCAGCAGCACUCCUAAAAGACAAAGGACAGAUAGUACUGGGAAGCGUUUGAAACAAUUUCUCGAUGAAGACAACGAGAGAAAGCUCGAAAUAAA